UGUAGUCAUAUGCUUGUCUCAAAGAUUAAGCCAUGCAUGUCUAAGUAUAAGCAAUUAUACAGCGAAACUGCGAAUGGCUCAUUAAAUCAGUUAUCGUUUAUUUGAUAGUACCUUACUACAUGGAUAACCGUGGUAAUUCUAGAGCUAAUACAUGCUAAAAAUCCCGACUUCGGAAGGGAUGUAUUUAUUAGAUUAAAAACCAAUGCCCUUCGGGGCUCUCUGGUGAUUCAUAAUAACUUCUCGAAUCGCACGGCCUUGCGCCGGCGAUGGUUCAUUCAAAUUUCUGCCCUAUCAACUUUCGACGGCUGGGUCUUGGCCAGCCGUGGUGACAACGGGUAACGGAGGGUUAGGGCUCGACCCCGGAGAAGGAGCCUGAGAAACGGCUACUACAUCCAAGGAAGGCAGCAGGCGCGCAAAUUACCCAAUCCCGACACGGGGAGGUAGUGACAAUAAAUACUGAUACAGGGCUCUUUUGGGUCUUGUAAUUGGAAUGAGUACAAUUUAAAUCCCUUAACGAGGAACAAUUGGAGGGCAAGUCUGAAUCGAAUCCCGCGGCCGC
rnacentral:rRNA from 1 species